rnacentral:rRNA from 1 species
GAUGAACGCUGGCGGCGUGCCUAAUACAUGCAAGUCGAGCGAACAGACGAGGAGCUUACUCCUCUGACGUUAGCGGCGGACGGGUGAGUAACACGUGGAUAACCUACCUAUAAGACUGGGAUAACUUCGGGAAACCGGAGCUAAUACCGGAUAACAUGUUGAACCGCAUGGUUCAACAGUGAAAGACGGUUUUGCUGUCACUUAUAGAUGGAUCCGCGCCGCAUUAGCUAGUUGGUAAGGUAACGGCUUACCAAGGCAACGAUGCGUAGCCGACCUGAGAGGGUGAUCGGCCACACUGGAACUGAGACACGGUCCAGACUCCUACGGGAGGCAGCAGUAGGGAAUCUUCCGCAAUGGGCGAAAGCCUGACGGAGCAACGCCGCGUGAGUGAAGAAGGUCUUCGGAUCGUAAAACUCUGUUAUUAGGGAAGAACAAAUGUGUAAGUAACUAUGCACGUCUUGACGGUACCUAAUCAGAAAGCCACGGCUAACUACGUG